rnacentral:misc_RNA from 1 species
GAAUGUGAUUGCAACUUGAAGAAAAUUGAACUAGAAAAGGUUCCAAAUAUAACAUGUCACAGAAAACACCUAAAUAGUAAUCCCUCGUUCUAUAUAGUGAUCAAUAAUUAAACUCACUUCAAAAAAACAUUUGGCACAGCAAAAACCCACAAACAGAAUUUAUACUUUUGCCAUUCAAGAGGAAGCGCCACUACGGAUUGCUUGACCUUUCUUAGGUUUGCCAGUCGCCAGCUGAGUCUCCGGCUCCUUCUUAACAGGCUCUUCCUUUUCAGACAAGAUCAGCUCAAUGUGGCAAGGAGAAGACAUGUAAGGGUUGAUUCUUCCAUGAGCACGGUAGGUACGACGCCUUUGUUUCUGAGCUUGGUUUACUUGGAUGUGAGAUACGUGGAGCAAAUCAACAUCCAGACCCUUAACUUCAGCAUUGCUCUCAGCAUUCUUCAGCAAAUCUAGAAUAAACUUUGCAGAUUUGACAGGCCAACGUCCUUGUCCAUUUGAGUGGCGAUUCUU